GAUGAACGCUGGCGGCGUGCCUAAUACAUGCAAGUCGAGCGAACAGAUGAGGAGCUUGCUCCUCUGACGUUAGCGGCGGACGGGUGAGUAACACGUGGAUAACCUACCUAUAAGACUGGGAUAACUUCGGGAAACCGGAGCUAAUACCGGAUAAUAUAUUGAACCGCAUGGUUCAAUAGUGAAAGACGGUUUUGCUGUCACUUAUAGAUGGAUCCGCGCCGCAUUAGCUAGUUGGUAAGGUAACGGCUUACCAAGGCAACGAUGCGUAGCCGACCUGAGAGAGUGAUCGGCCACACUGGAACUGAGACACGGUCCAGACUCCUACGGGAGGCAGCAGUAGGGAAUCUUCCGCAAUGGGCGAAAGCUUGACGGAGCAACGCCGCGUGAGUGAUGAAGGUCUUCGGAUCGUAAAACUCUGUUAUUAGGGAAGAACAAAUGUGUAAGUAACUAUGCACGUCUUGACGGUACCUAAUCAGAAAGCCACGGCUAACUACGU
rnacentral:rRNA from 1 species